CGUGUAGGCGGUCAGGUAAGUGGAAUGUGAAAUGCCCCGGCUCACCCGGGGACCGGCAUCCCAAACUGCCUGGCUUGAGUAUGGGAGAGGAUGGAGGAAUUCCUGGUGCAGCGGUGAAAUGCGUAGAUAUCAGGAGGAACACCGGUGGCGAAGGCGUCCAUCUGGCCCAAUACUGACGCUGAGGCGCGAAAGCUAGGGGAGCAAACG
rnacentral:rRNA from 1 species